AAUGUAUCGUGAAACCAAAAUGUGUAUAAAUACCAACUAAAUCUUCACAGACAGCAUCAGUGCACAUUCGCAGUCACUACAUCAACAAGACACCACAGUCAAGUUUAUUCUACUCUUCGAGUUCACCCGAAUUCAUUUUUAAUCAUCAUCAUGUAUAAGUUAUUGUUAUUGGUUGUUGCCGUCUUCGCUUUGGUCGCCGCCAUUUCUGCUCAAAUUGUCACUUACCCAAUCAACUAUGCACCGUAUUACACAUACCCAACAUACGGCUACACUUACCCAGUGACAUACAAUCCAUACAUCACUCUCCUUCGUCGGUAGACAUUGACCAAAUCCAAACAGGCUAUACGAUGAACAGACUACUGGGAUUUAGCAGUUAUUAUCCAAUAUUAUUUUAUGAAGAUAUAAUAAAAUAAUAAAAUUACUCAAAAAUCAACACAUACUUCUAUUAUUAAUAAUAUAUUUUUUUUCUUCAUGUUUUUUCUGUCUUGUAAAACAUUUAUUUAUUCAUAAUAAAAUAUAAUAUUUUAUAUUUUAAAAUCA